rnacentral:rRNA from 1 species
GACGAACGCUGGCGGCGUGCUUAACACAUGCAAGUCGAGCGGAGCGGCGCACGGGUGAGUAACGCGUGAGUCACUGCCCCCCUCUCUGGGAUAACAGUUGGAAACGGCUGCUAAUACCGGAUAGUGGGGGAUGACUCGGGGCCUAUCAGCUUGUUGGUGGGGUAGUGGCCUACCAAGGCGACGACGGGUAGCCGGCCUGAGAGGGCGACCGGCCUCAUUGGGCUGAGGUACGGCCCAAACGGCUACGGGAGGCAGCAGGGGGGAAUAUGGCACAAUGGGGGAAACACUGAUGCAGCAACGCCGCGUGCGGGAUGACGGUCUUCGGGUGGGAAACCGCUUUAAGCCAUGACGCGGUAGUGGCAGAAGAAGCACCGGCUAACUACGUGCCAGCAGCCGCGGUAAUAC